rnacentral:rRNA from 2 species
UGGGGAAUAUUGGACAAUGGGCGCAAGCCUGAUCCAGCCAUGCCGCGUGGGUGAAGAAGGCCCUAGGGUUGUAAACCCCUUUCAGCGGGGAAGAUAAUGACGGUACCCGCAGAAGAAGCCCCGGCUAACUCCGUGCCAGCAGCCGCGGUAAUACGGAGGGGGCUAGCGUUGUUCGGAAUUACUGGGCGUAAAGCGCGCGUAGGCGGACCUGCAAGUCGGGGGUGAAAGCCCGAGGCUCAACCUCGGAACUGCCUUCGAUACUGCGGGUCUCGAGUCCGGAGAGGUGAGUGGAAUUCCCUAGUGUAGAGGUGAAAUUCGUAGAUAUUAGGAAGAACACCAGUUGGCGAAGGCGGCUCACUUGGCCCGGUACUGACGCUGAGGCGCGAAAGCGUGGGGGAGCAAAACA